GCCAGGGACUACUUCAUACCUAGAAAUCUUAUUAUACGCCUUUUCUUUUAAAUGUACUUAGAGACUCAGCAGGCAAAGGUGCUUGCCAGACAAGCCCGGUGACCUGAGUUUGAGCCCUGGAAGGGUGUACAGGAAGAAGCAGAGAACUGACACCCAAAGUUGUCUUCUGACCUCCAUCAGCCUGCCCAAACACACACAGCAUGUAAUGCACACACACACACACACACACACACACACACACACACACACACACACACACACACACACACACACAUUCCUUCUCUGCAUCAGGAGCAAGCUCUGCCCAGAGCUUUGGAAUUUUGUAGUAAGCUACUGUAGUCCAAGCAGCACUUACAGUCAUCACUGGCAAAAGACUCUCUGCCUGCCAUGUAUUAGCUGUGGGAUGGUUUGACUAUGUGUGAUGGUUUGUAUAUCCUUGGACCAGGGAGUGGCACCAUCUGGAGAUGUGGCCUUGUUGGAAUAGGUGUGACCUGGUUGGAAUAGGUGUGUCACUGUGGGUGUGGGCAUAAGAUCAGUGGCACUAUUAGGAGGUGAGGCCUUGUUGGAGUAGGUGUGUCACUGUGGGCAUGGGAUUUAAGACCCUCAUCCUAGCUACCUGAGAG
ensembl:sense_intronic